rnacentral:rRNA from 1 species
UACGAAGGGGGCUAGCGUUGCUCGGAAUUACUGGGCGUAAAGGGCGCGUAGGCGGACAGUUAAGUCAGAGGUGAGAGCCCAGGGCUCAACCCUGGAAUUGCCUUUGAUACUGGCUGUCUUGAGUACGGGAGAGGUGAGUGGAACUCCGAGUGUAGAGGUGAAAUUCGUAGAUAUUCGGAAGAACACCAGUGGCGAAGGCGGCUCACUGGCCCGAUACUGACGCUGAGGCACGAAAGCGUGGGGGGCAAACAGG